GUGGGGAAUCUUGCGCAAUGGGCGAAAGCCUGACGCAGCGACGCCGCGUGCGGGAGGAAGGCCUUAGGGUUGUAAACCGCUUUCAGGAGGGACGAAGCCACUCGGGUUAAUAGCCUAGAGGGUGACGGUACCUCCAGAAGAAGCCCCGGCUAACUACGUGCCAGCAGCCGCGGUAAUACGUAGGGGGCUAGCGUUGUCCGGAUUCAUUGGGCGUAAAGAGCGUGUAGGCGGUUCGAUAGGUCCGGUGUGAAAACUCGAGGCUCAACCUCGAGAGGUCGCCGGAAACCCUCGAGCUAGAGUCCGGAAGAGGAGAGUGGAAUUCCUGGUGUAGCGGUGAAAUGCGCAGAUAUCAGGAAGAACACCCAUGGCGAAGGCAGCUCUCUGGGACGGUACUGACGCUGAGACGCGAAAGCGUGGGGAGCGAACAGG
rnacentral:rRNA from 1 species